GGGCCUGUAGCUCAGUGGAUAGAGCGUCUGCCUCCGGAGCAGAAGGUCGUGGGUUCGAACCCCAUUAGGCCCA
rnacentral:tRNA from 2 species